UGCAGUAUGAUGGACAGAAUUCUACGUAAACGACCAAGAUGGCAAGAUUUUCAUCGAUCACCCUAGAUCGGAUCGGAAGAUCCUUCCGUUCAUUUACUUUUGGUCGACUGAUCAGGACAUUGCUCCCCAGUUGAAGCAGAAAAUGGGUUUCACGAGGGGAAGCCGAAAAAAGCAUCAUUUUGAUGCCACUGGACGCGAAUCCAGACAGGCGAGAAGCAGUAAAAGGUUUGGCCCUUAUUUUGAUUGAAAGCACACGCAAACGGCGCUGUAAGGUGAUCUUCAAGGGUCAAAUUGUACUCUUUACCAAGCAAUGAGUAUUCCGUCCAUUUGAUAGUUCCUAGCGUAUGGCCAGCAGAGGGCGGACUACAAUGCUUCAGCUUACGCAAUAAAAAAUCCAGCCGAUGAUUUGGAUUGGACAAGCCGUGCAACGGAUGCUCAUUGGUAAGCCAGGGUCGUCGCGGACAGGGUCGACAGGGAGACGAGUUCUCGCCGCAAGGAGGGCGGCGUCCAGCUUGAAGAAGGGGUGAUGGAGGGCGUGUCGAGGCUGAACCAGGUCGACGAACCCACGUCGACCACGGCAGCCAAGAGAUGGCAGCAAAGAUCGGGCCGAUCCCGAAGGAGCGAGAAGUCAGUUGCGGAAAGAGGACGGAAGCCUUCGAGAGAGGUCUUACUGGUUGUCCACACUAUAAACAAAAAGGAAGAUGUGAUGUUCACUCACUAGGUCAGAGGCUCAAGGACCUCUGCCCAUCAUAAGCGGCCACCCCAAACCAAUGGCGGGGCCAAUGAGCUCCAAGGUGGUGGACCAUCCCACAGCCCGUCAGCUCUCCAGCUGGGUGCAAUACUGCGAUGAAUUCCAACUCUCCAGCUCACAAAGCCGUUGCUAAGGAGCAAGGCACUGGACACCGUACGAGCACUUCUUAUGCACACGGAGAGCAUUGAACAGGUCGUUGAGACGCUUCAAACAAGGUACGGGCCAUCUGUCGGUUCCCAUCCCGAAGACGGAUUGAUGGACUUUCCUGUUCAGGUCCAAAAUCUAUGUCCCACCGCCAUGCAUAACAUCACUCUACUCCACCAGUUGAUGCAGAAGCUGACACCGGCACUGACCAUCAGCUGGGCCGAGUGACGAGCUACGUUGUCUGACAGGAGUGAGUCUGGCAGGCUUCAGUGCAUGGACUUCUUCUUUCGCUAACACACCGUACACGCAGUAACCUAUAAGCUACCCCGCGCAGAGGAAAGAGGGGCUGCCGGCAACGUGGCAGUGCAGUCCAGUCGGCGCGGCCCACAACACAAGCCCACGGCGAGAGAACAGGGCGUUUGCCAACGCCCAUACGAAGAAAGCAACCGAACCGAAGUGCCCGUUGUGUAAAAGCAGGAUGCCCUGGACUUGCCGAAUGCCGAAACGGAUCCGGAAACAAGCGUGACGCAGGCGAAGAGGGAGCAGGUGAAGAAAUCACCGCGGCCUAACUGUCUCGAGCCAAUGCAGGGACAGCGCAACCGGGCGACUUGCGCGAAAGAAGGCUGCUCCGGAAGACAUCCUACGCUGUUACAUAUGCCUAAAACAGAGGUAGGUGCAAAGAAAACCGAAACUGAAUGAGGUAUCUGUAACUCACACAACACUUUAAACUACGACACCCUGCCAAUACGUCGGCUGCCGGGUCGGCCUAAAAUUCUGGAGAUGACGCAGCGAGAGGAGCGGAACAGGGUUCCCACCAAAGCGAACUCAGCCGAUGAUGCAACCGGCGCGUCGCUCGCGGUCUUAGAUAUACUAGUUAACCAAGCACAGGACUAGCAAAACAAUUUGAACGUACUCACCACCAGAAAGAUCGUAGCUAGCGAAAUUGAUUAGAGCUAAGGGAAGCGGACCGUACCACGUACACGUUGGCACCGGAAGUAUGAUUAUGAUCCUUUUCUAAAGUCACCCUAGUGACAGAAACCAACCGGGUCUUUUAACCGGCCGGCUGUUUAAGGGUUUAAACAGCGUCCACACGACACACAAAGUUAUCGCAAAUACUUUCUUGCUCCUUCAGAACACAACACAAGAUCACUGUUCACAUAUGAUUUGACAGCUCCAAAAGGUGCGAGAAGCUCGUUGUCGCUUGCUCGCUGUAUAUUCGAUCGCAACACGUGGAUUUCAAUUAUCGCCAUCACUUCUCGGCGGAUUUGUAUGGGAUGACGUUUAAUUGAGAAUAAGUUCUCCAACAUUCGUCGUCGUGUAGACGCCGUUUUCUUCGGUCGUUGUCGGGGCCGGGGCAAUCUGUGGAGCGUCCAAACGCUGCGUUUUCAUUGCGAUUUUCAAGCGCAGAUCCCAUAGAUUGUGCUGAUUGUGCAAAACAUGAGAAACAAACAAUGACGCUUCAUCUAGACGGCAAUGAGAAAGCUCCAGGGAUGCAAUUCCCAUACGAAAAUGCUCGAAUCUCUAGGGGAAUUGUCUAGACACCGCCCCCCCCCCCCCCCACACACACACACACACACACACACACACACACAAGGAGAGCGCCGACCGGGGCAAGAGCGUGCGCUAAAAGGAAACUUCCCGACAACACCGGCCCAGCAAAGGAACUGCAGGCAUGCUUCUCGGGGUCACCAUCGAGUAAUAGAACCAUUGACAAUAGAUUUGACAUGCGUUUCGAGCUGCAACCGGUUUGGUACGAACAGUUUGCUUCGUACUCCGUUUCAUAAAGAACUGAAAAGUGGAGAGUGAGAACGAGACCCGCGAAACGAGCAGCAUCAAACCUCGAGAGCGGGGGCAAGCCGAAGACCGCACAGGACGAUACCGGAGAAGCGGUACGCCAGAAUUGGCUAGGGAUGGCCAAGUGUAUGAUAGGCCGGUUGCGCGGCCAGAGAUGCUAAAGGUGCGCGAGGCGCAGGAGUGCGAAAAGCUACCGUACCAGAGGUUAUCUUAAUCUUACCGUAGCUUACCAGAGGUUAUCUCAACACGAGGUAUGAAUAUAAAAAGACCGGUGCUGACAGGUCGUGUUGACAGUACGAGAGUUGGGGGGGGGGGGGGGUGUUGUUAAUUACGUGUGGUUAGGUGUUAACGAUUGUCAAACUUCAUAAACAAACAAGGGCAGCGGGGCCAAGAAAGACAUAGAAACACACCACAAUUCUUUUGGUUUGGACCUGAGUUCAGGACCUUUACGCCGAAGCGCGUGUGUUUAUCGUACAUAUCAUCAUAGUCAUUUACAUAAUGCGAGGGGAAAAUUAAUGCAUUUUUAAGUUUGCCGUUCCAAAGCAUUGUUGAAAAGGUGCUUCGGGUUGUCCUACAAGCGUGAAAUGUGCAUCGUUUUGUCAUAUUGUUAAUCGUUAUUCCUCUUCCAGUAACAGCAGCAGCGGCGGCUCGAACCAGCGUAGCACGCACUAAAGGAAAUUAAAAGAGAAAUAACUUCCAUCGUCCAUGGUUUACCUUGAGGCAUAGAAACGAACUCGCAUCAUUCAUUCAAGCGAACUAAGAGCUGCGAUAGAAGAUAGAAAGAAAGGGCCCACCGCAAGGUUCUGUUGAGAUGGUUCUAGCAAAGGACACAGCAAGGUAUGAUGAUUGUAGGCGUACUGCUUACCUUCUUACCAAUCAGGCUGCAAUCGACGAGUGGUCUUGGCCUGCCACAAAAGCAGUUCGAAGACGCCACGUAACCAGAUCUUCUGUAUGACUGAUUCCAUGCUACAUCUGAGUUCGGUGCAGUUCAAAAUCGUGUGUUUUGUGAACCUACAUCGAGAGUAAGUUUUGUUGUGUUAAUUAAGUAUGUUUUGCGAUUAAAGUAAUGUUUUCCUUGCAGCUCAUUCUCUUCAUCGAGCGGUACGAUGUUAAGGACGGUCGCGUUGUUGUUCUCAAAUUUAAAUCGUCCAGUCGGAAGUUGUUCUUCUGGAUGCAAGAACCGAAAGCAGAUAGCGACGAAGCGGUGGUGUUGGCGAGUCAAUGAAGCAACAGCGGGAACGUUCUGUCUUCAUGUUUGUAAUACCGUAAGACGAAGAGUCUCGUUUAUAUUUGAUUCACCCUCGUACAUAAGAUAUGCAUCCUUCCUAUCCGGUUUCAUUUUCUGCUUGAGUGAAGGAGACGUGGCAAUGCGUAUGUAUUAUGGUAAACCAUUUACGAUGGCGUUUAUGUAUCUCUUUGAGGCUGUUAAGAAGCAGUUUGACUACCUGCUGGCG